GACGAACGUUGGCGGCGUGCUUAAUACAUGCAAGUCAACUGAAGCAGUGGUAGCAAUAUCGCUGUGGAGGUGGCGCACGGGUGAGUAACACGUAGGUAAUCUGCCUUCAGGUCUGGCAUAACUCCGGGAAACCGGGGCUAAUAGCAGAUGAUGCAGCGGCUCGACAUCGAGACAGUUGUUAAAGCUAUGGCGCCUGAAGAUGAGCCUGCGUCUGAUUAGCUAGUUGGCGGGGUAACGGCCCACCAAGGCAACGAUCAGUAGCUGGUCUGAGAGGAUGAUCAGCCACACUGGAACUGAGACACGGUCCAGACUCCUACGGGAGGCAGCAGUAAGGAAUAUUGCUCAAUGGGAGAAAUCCUGAAGCAGCAACGCCGCGUGAGGGACGAAGGGCUUUUGCUUGUAAACCUCUGUAGUGAGAGAAGAAAAUCCCAAUCUUUGGGACAUGAUGGUAUCUCAAAAGUAAGCCCCGGCUAACUACGUG
rnacentral:rRNA from 1 species